GGGGCUGGAGAUGGGGCAAUGGGGAGAGGGGAGUUCCUGGCUGAAGCUCAGGGAAUGUAACAGCUUCAAGAGAAGACCAAACCUGAGGGUGCAGGUCAGUGAUGCAGCUCUCUGAUUGCUCUGUAGCCCUGUGAAGCAAAACCCGCCUGCAACAGCAGCUGUAAAUGAGAGCCAGGACCUCCAGACGCUCCUGUGCAUCAUCCCUGCUGCUGUCUGAAUAAGCUCGUGGGUUUUGCACUAAAAAAGCCCCCCCUGUGCUGACAAAUUUGCCCUUUGUGCUCUGGCUUCAGCAAGGCCAGUAAAAAUAGUGAGGGAUGGGGCAGACACUGCUGCUUUCAGGGCUUUUCUUAGCUCCAGGCUAUGGAGUGAGGCAUCAGGUGCUGACAGCUCAGGAGGAUACAGCAGGCAAAGGGGUCUGUUCCUGAGAUACCCCCUAGACCGACAGUUUUGUGAACAUCCACAAUUUGGUAUUUUCCUUUUUUUUUUUUUUCCCCUCCUUUUUUUGGGGGUAUUUUAAAUAGCAGCAGGCAGCAUCAGAGCCACACGAUAAAGCUUCCCAAAAAAAGCAGAGUCCCAGCCUUAAUCCACACCCCAACCCUGCCAGCAGCCGGGAACCAGAGCACGUCCAUGCUCAGCAUGGAGACUUCUGUGCUCAGACAAGGAGGAUUAUGGGCAUCAUAUGACUGACUGCAAUGAUGGUGUGUGCUUAAUUGGUGAAGGGCUGCAUUUUCUAUCUUUAACACAGGACAAAGGGCCAGCGGGCUGCCUCAUGCACAUGGUUCCUUUCAGGUGUUUUCUUCACUGUACUUGACCCAGAGAGCUGUGGAUGCCCCAUCCCUGGAGGUGCUCAGCAUCAGGUUGGAUGGGGCUUUGGAUAACCUGGUCUGGUAGGAGGUGUCUACCCAUGGAAUGGUUAAAACUGGAUGGGUCCCUUCCAACUCAAUACAUUCGAUGAUUCUGUGAUGAUGCUGACACAGCUGAGCUGGAGGGCAAGGCAUGAAGCAUCGCUGGGCACAGCGUGUGAGGGCAGUAUUAAAUGCUGCACUCCCUUGGGUGCCUGCCAGCAGAUCCCAUAGGGUUUUGCAGUGUCUGAAGCCCAGGAGUGCAUCAUUCCUUCAAUCAGAAGAACACACUUGGUUGCUUCCCAUAGACACGUCCCACCACCCACUUCAGUUACCAACCUAUGUAAAUGAGUGUAGUAUAGAAUCAUAGAAUGGCUUGUGUUAGAAGGGACCUCAAAGCCCAACCAGUUCCACCCCUGCUGUGGG